rnacentral:miRNA from 1 species
ACCCCUGGAUGAGAAAUGAAGGCA